AACGAACGCUGGCGGCAGGCCUAAUACAUGCAAGUCGAACGCUCCAGCAAUGGAGAGUGGCAGACGGGUGAGUAACGCGUGGGAACCUUCCCAGUGGUACGGAAUAGCUCAGGGAAACUUGAGGUAAUACCGUAUACGCCCUUCGGGGGAAAGAUUUAUCGCCAUUGGAUGGGCCCGCGUCGGAUUAGUUAGUUGGUGGGGUAAUGGCCCACCAAGGCGACGAACCGUAGCUGGUCUGGGAGGAUGAUCAGCCACACUGGGACUGGGACACGGCACAGACUCCUACGGGAGGCAGCAGUAGGGAAUAUUGGACAAUGGGCGAAAGCCUGGUCCAGCCAUGCCGCGUGAGUGACGAAGGACUUUGGGUUGUAAAGCUCUUUUGGCGGGGACGAUAAUGACGGUACCCGCAGAAUAAGCUCCGGCUAACUUCGUGCCAGCAGCCGCGGUAA
rnacentral:rRNA from 1 species